rnacentral:lncRNA from 10 species
CAAUGAUUGGGAUAUAAACCCAGGAAUUCGAGCUGGCAACGGCAACUCCCUUUGGGUCUCCUCUCAUUGUAUGGGAGCUCUGUUUUCACUCUAUUAAAUCUUGCAACUGCACACUCUUCUGGUCUGUGUUUGUUAUGGCUUGAGCUGAGCUUUUGCUGGCUGUCCACCACUGCUGUUUGCUGCCGUCGCAGACCCCUUGCUGACUCCCACCCCUGCGGAUCUGGCAGGGUGUCUGCUGCGCUCCUGAUCCAGCCAGGCACCCACUGCUGCUCCCAAUCAGGCUAAAGGCUUGCCAUUGUUCCUGCAUGGCUAAGUGCCCGGGUUCGUGCUAAUUGAGCUGAACACUAGUCGCUGGGUUCCACAGUUCUCUUCCGUGACCCACAGCUUCUAAUAGAGCUAUAACACUCACUGCAUGGCCCAACAUUCCAUUCCUUGGAAUCUGUGAGGCCAAGAACCCCCGGUCAGAGAACAAGAAGCUUGCCACCAUCUUGGAAGCAGCCCGCCACCAUUUUGGGAGCUCUAAGAACAAGGACCCCCCAGUAACAUUUUGGUGACCACGAAGGGACCUCCAAAGCAACUCAAAGCUGUAAAACUGCAAAUGGUUCCUCAUAUGGAGCCCCAGAUGCAGUCCAUGACUAAGAUCUACCACAGAGCCCUAGACCGGCCUGUUAGCCCAUGCUCCGAUGUUGAUGACAUCAAAGGCACACCUUCCGAGGAAAUCUCAACUGCACGACCCCUACUAAGCCCCAAUUCAGCAGGAAGCAGUUAAGAGCAGUCGUUGGCUAACAUCCCCAAUAAAUCCACACGUUCAUGGAGUCAUAGAACCUAAGGGUUGAAAAGAACCCUUAAGGCCAGGCACGGUGGCUCACCUCUGUAAUCCCAGCACUUUGGGAGACCGAGGCAGGCGGAUCACGAGUCUGCGCCAUUUGUGGAGAACUGCAUUUCACCAGCACUCCAUUCAUGAAGAAUCUACGAGCGCCCUCUAGAGGAAUUUUCUCUCUUUCACAUCUACACACGGUGAAAAGGGCCAACUAGGGCUGCUCUUGUCCGGGCUGAAUUCUGGAAAGCAUCAAUUUCUCAGGAUAUAUAUGCAGCGUUUAAGUACAUUUUCUGCGAGAAGCAGAUGCAUUGGUUUGCAAGUCAGAGCGAAAGCCAGUGCUGCUGUUCAGAGUCAGAGCUGGGCAGGAUGAAGUUUAAUGAACAUUAUUAACCAUUGAGAAGAUGCAUUUCUUGCUGAGUAGCCCCCAGGGCAGACGACAGCUCAGUCACCCUGGAAGAAUUCAACCAGAAAAAGACCUCACAAACCGACAGUUCUGUGCUAGUGAGAACCAUUAUUGCCGGGAAGGUGAAUCUCUGAAACUACCACAAAACAUCCUCACUGCCCUUCCCCUGAGGUUUCACAAACCACAGCAAAAGUCCAGUCAGUACCAUUCAGGCCACCAGCAAGCCACGUGACCCCAGGCAAGUCAUGUAACUUCUUAAAAUGAAGGCUGACGAACUCCUGGAAAUUUUGCUUCAGUCGUUAUGAGGUCAGGGGUCAUACACCUGCAAAAUCUUGCUAUAAAUGCCCUUUGAACUCUUUCUUUUUUGCAAGUAUGAUGAUGAGGGUUGAGAACAACUGGGUUAUCCCGAAGUGUGAAAACUCACUUCAAAUAGAUGAAUGAUUCAUAUGUGAGAAGCUCUCAUGUAUGGGAUGACUGGAAGUAUGCCUUAUCUUGAAGUCAUUCAUGUCUUCGUGAUUUUUUACUUACAGAGUGCCUUUUUUGUUUAAGACACUGAAAAUAUUUGAAAAGAGAUCCCUGGAUCCCUGAUGAUUUGCCUUAAUGUAAUACUGAGUAAAAUCUCAUUAAAUUGAGUGGAAAUGAGUGGGGAAAAUGAACCUUGAAUUAAAUGGGUUUGAACAGUGCAAUUUAAAAAAUAUAUAUUAGGCAUCUAGAUAAUACGGAGAUAACAGUUGCUAAAAUUAUGUUGACUUCUUGAUUUAACAGUGCCGCUUCCUCCGGGUGCAGUGAAAUGAGCAGUUUGGGGAGGCAGAAAAACCUGGGGUCAAUGCUGCUUCAGGGUACAGAUCCCCAUCCACAAACCUAAAACCAAAACUUUUUUUUUAUUAAAAAGUAAACUUUAAUGUCGAAAAUGCAAACUUGGGGAAAACAGAAAAGAUCACACACAAGGCUGUCACUUCACACUUCCAAGGUUGCACAGUGGUGGGGCAGAGGCGCUCCUCACUUCCCAAACGCUAAAACCGAAACUUUAAAGUUUCCCUAACUCGCCAGGUGGUGGCUCACGCCGGUAAUCCCAGGACUUUGGAAAGCCAAAGCAGGAGGAUCACUUGAGCACAGCAGUUUGAGACCAGCCUGGGCAGCAUAGUGAGACCUCCUCUACAAAAAAUUUUAAAACGAGCCAAAUGUGAUGGUACACGUCUGUAGUCCCAGCUACUCUGGAGGUUGAGGUGGGAAGAUCACUUGAGCCCAGGAAGCAGAGGUUGCAGUGAAUUGAGUUUGACCACUGCACUCCAGCCUGGGCGACAGAGCAAUACCCUAUCUCAAAAAUAAAUAAGUCAAUAAUUACAAAAAUUGAAGUUUCCCUAACUUAACUCAAUUUCUGUAGUGAGUCCCCAUUCCACUAGGGGGCAGAAAGGUUAGCUGAGUCAAUCAUGGUUCCUCCUCGUUUCACCAUAUUGGCACAUAUUGGCACAUAUUGGGCUAUGUGGGGUCACAGUGUUGCAGACUGGCAUCUGACUUGAUUUUUUUCUUCUUUGGAAAAUGAAAAUAUUUAUUUAGAACCACUCUGGGUUUUCUAAUAGGUCAGUAAUUUUAUUUAAUAUAUGUAAUGAUAGAUAGAUCAAAGGUAUUUUCAAGUAAUGACGACAUUUUCUUAAUCAGGGAUUACUAAGCCCCCCCUAAGAUGCUAAAAUGUUAUGCAUUUGCCUAGAACCCUUUUUUGUCAGCAAACUGUGGUCCUGCAUUUGGCAGCAGCCGUGAUUCAGAGCAAGGCGGACUGGAAGGAGCUGUGGUCUGGAUCUUUCCCUCUGCGCUAUUCCCCUUCCCAGCUUGUCCUCAGCUGCGCCACCUGAGAAGUCUGGAGGAACAUUCGCUGGAGUCUCCACGGUUCCUUCCGGCUGGGGUUCUUCUGCUGUGGCUUGGGCCUCUCCUGAGCUGCAGAGGCUGCCCCAGGCCCCACUGGGAGCCACACCAGCCACGCUCCUCAGGACGUCUCUGCCCUCUAAAACCAGCUGGGCUUUCAUUUCCACCCGAUCCUAGCCCCUAGCCCACCCCGGAAGGUGAGGCAUAUGGGCCUCCCUCUCUCAGAGACCCACAAUGUCUCCUUGCAGCGGCUCCUUCUGCAGCUUCUCUCACUCUGAUGGAGACACUGUCUGUCUGGUCCGGGAGGACUGGGGUGGGGAGUUCGCCUUGCCCUGAGUCAUCAAAGUUUUCUAUGUUCUGAGACCUCUUUAGAGUUCCUGUAACCACCCUUUCCAGAGGUCAUGGAUCCACAUGACACCAGGGAAUUUAAACGCCGCAGAAAUUUGGAAGGGUCAAGAGUUACAGGAAAUAUUGAGUGAAAAGGGUCCAUUGCUGUUCUGAAAACUUCCUGUGGACGUUCGGCAAGCUCCUGAUUCUCCCUGAGCCUCGGUUGCUUCAUCUAGCCAAAGGGAAAAUGCUGUCUACCACAUAGGGUUGUGGCGAAGGGUAAAGGUUAAACUCCUGGCUCGGAGGCUUAUACAAUAACCCCCACUCCCAAGGCCCCACUCCUGCUGUCUCUUAGCACUCCUGGAUAGAAAAGAAAUCAAGAGGGCUGAGUGUCCACAGCAACUGCUCUGGAAUAAAGAAAAAAGGCAGUAGGAAAAGUGCAUGGACACCCUCCCAGGGGACCCCAUGGCUGGCAGAGGAAUCUUGGAGAUCGAACGUGGGAAGAAGAGGACGCGGGCACACAACCGGGAAAAGUCAAGAUGUAGCCCAAGAACAAAAGUGCAAAGUGGCCGGGCCCCCCCACCCAUAAUGCUUGGGCAGCCACAGGGGCAGGGUUUAGAAGACAGAUCAUGGCUCCGCAGGCCCACGCACCUGAUCUGGAACCUUCGCUUCUGCCAUCUGCUGGGCAAAGUCCUAAGACGUGGCUUCUGUGAUGUUCUACGCUGGUCCAAUUGAUUGCAUUAGUAAAAUCCUGCCAUACAUUUCACCGUUCCCCUACAGAAACCUGUUUCAUUUUAAAAUGAAACUUCUCACUUCUUGAUUUCAUACAUCUUUCGCAACACUAUCUCACCCAGCCAAUUAGACGAUAAUUAAAGAAUUUCCCAAAGCUCUGAUUCCUUGAUGUCAGAAAGCCAUUUGCUUUUCUCCAACGCAUCUAUUAGCCUAUUAUUUCCAUUUAGCCUAUUUGUACACAGCACUCCACUGCUCCAGACUCUCAAAUUGCUGAUUUUUAUGCUUCUUCCUUAGCACUUAAUGCAGUUCAUAAAUUUUACUCUAAAAGUUUAGGCAUAAAUCACACUAAAAGCCCAAGUUACUGAGGAAAACUAGCAGCAAAUCAAGAUUGGAAUACCAAGCCACCAGCAUCAAUUCUACAUUUACACACUUCAAAUUAAGAGUUCCCUCCCCAUUAUUUAAAUGCAAACUUUUCUUACAACUUUUCCUUACUUUAUAUUAAGCUCCAAACCAAAAAAAAAAGGAAAAUUCAAAAUGUUCACUUGCUUUUUUGUUGCUGUUGUUAUGCAAUAUUGAACUUUCUGUGGUAUAGUCAUAAAAAUCACCUUUGUAAGGAAACAAACAAAUGAAAAAAAGAUACUCCUAAGAAACCAUUAUUCAUUCCUGGCCAAGAUGAAAAGCUGUAAGUUCAGAGUAUUCUGGAAGGAAGAAAAACAAUUAUAUAUACAGCGUAUAUAUACAGUCAUCCAAUACUCUGCGUAUGAUCUAGGUUGAUGUCAGAAGCAUUUGAGGUGACAUUUGGCUUACAAAAGGCAACCCCAUUUUUUACCAUCAGUGCCCCUGGAUAAGGGGGCAAACCCCUUGCUGACACAAGGCCUAGACAUCAACCUUAACCAUGUUGCCCAAAUUACAUUCCAUGAUGGUAAUUCAGUUCCAUCUUUUAAAAACAGAUGAAUGGGCUUCAAGGAGCUAUUCUAUGUAGAGACAUUUUUCUUUAUUGGUAAAUAAAUAUUCCACCUGUGAGAUGUAGCGCAUUAAAAUUAAAUGUCAGUGACCAUUCUAUGGCUCCCUUUCAAAGGCAGGGAAUUUCUCUUAGACAACAUAAUAAUAAUAAUCAGCACUUUUCAUCCUCCAAGCAAUUUUUGAACACUAACUAAUCAAUCUGUCCAACAUCUGUGUGAGGUAGAUGAAUAAGAAUCAUUAUUUCCAUCGAGGAGAGAAAUGAUGGGAAAAGUUGAGUGGCUGAGGCUUAGCUGAGGUCAAGACAAUCCUGAACUGAGAAGCCUCACUUCACAACCAUUCUAGCUUUGGGACUUUUGGCAAAAGAAUAGAGACUGCAGAAUCAGUUAGGAGGAUAUUGCAAUAUUCCAACUGUGACUUCUGCUCUCCGUGUGAUGGGGACAGUGGUAGAAAUGAAGGAGAAGUCUUUAAUUGCUUUGGAGGACCAUCAGAAACUAACCAGGAAAUAGUCAUUUGAUUUAUUAACUCAUUCACUGAUUCAUUUCUUGACUCAUUCACUUAGCUCCUGGCUGAAGAUGUGUUUGCUAAACAAUGGAAUUUAUCCAUUUACCAAGUGUUGAGUGUCUGCCAAGAACUGUGUUCGAUUUGGGAGAUACUAAAUGAAAAAGAACCCCUGAUCUUGAUUUCCUAAUCUAGACAUUAGGAUCAAAGGAGCUGCUGUCUAUCAUGGAGACCAUGAACUCCCAUCAGUUCUGCCUCUCAGCCCUCUCUCCAGUCUAUUCUGUCUUCUUGAUCAGCACUGCAGCUACCCUUGCUCGGGUCCUUGUCAUCUCUGCCCUCCAGUGUCUGUCCUCAGAUCCUGUUUCUUUUUCGUUGCUAGAGUAUUUCUCUGAACUUCAGAUGGGAUGCUAACAUGCUCUUGCUUAAAGGCCUUCAGUUAUGGUUCAUCCAUUUAUUCUUUAUUCCAGAAUAAAGACCAAAUAAGGCCCCUCCCUCUCAGGCCCAUGCCUCUCUCUCCAUUUCAUCUUCCUUGCUCCUUAUACUUCAGCCAUAUGGAACUGCUUUCAUUUCCCUGAACACAAUAUGAUAGGGUGUUUUGCCACUCUGACUUUGCACACAUUUUUCUCUCUGCCUAAAAUGCCCUCCACUCUGCCUCUCCACCUGGCCUGUCUAGUGAACUAUCAUCCUGCAGAUCUUCCUUGCUCCUCUCUCCCUUCUGCACAAUCUUC